rnacentral:rRNA from 1 species
GGGUUUAGAACGUCGUGAGACAGUUCGGUCCCUAUCUGCCGUGGACGUUUGAGAUUUGAGAGGGGCUGCUCCUAGUACGAGAGGACCGGAGUGGACGAACCUCUGGUGUUCCGGUUGUCACGCCAGUGGCAUUGCCGGGUAGCUAUGUUCGGAAGAGAUAACCGCUGAAAGCAUCUAAGCGGGAAACUUGCCUCAAGAUGAGAUCUCACUGGGAUCUUGAAUCCCCUAAAGGGCCGUCGAAGACUACGACGUUGAUAGGUUGGGUGUGUAAGCGCUGUGAGGCGUUGAGCUAACCAAUACUAAUUGCCCGUGAGGCUUGACCAUAUAACACCCA